rnacentral:lncRNA from 1 species
AGCCUAGGCCCCCUACUCUGGUUACAGAUGCUUCUGGGCAGGCAGUGGUUAACACAAAUCCAUGAAAGAAUAGACUGUCCUCAAGGCCCGUGUUGGGAAAAGAUGUUAUGAACCGUGCCUCUAGAUUCUUAGAUGAGCUCUGAGUCACUGCCAGAAAAUAGAGGCCAGUAGGCUAAAUGCUACCUUUCUAAGGUUCUAGUCCUUUGCAACUGACCUAUCAAAUGACCUUUGACAUCUGGCUUGACCUCUGUUUCUCAUUCUUCCUUUUCUGUUAAGUGAGUAUUCAGAUAAACAACAGUAGCUUCCACUGCCAAGCAUUCUUAAGGUAACAUACAUAAAUUAAAAGUAGUGGAAAAAGAAGUAGAAAUAGAAGAAGCAGUAAAUAUCGCUCCCAUUUUAUAAAUUAGAAAACUGAGGUACAGAGGGGUUAAGUACCAUACCCAGGGGUAUGGCAUUUGUGUACGUGACUGAGUCCGCAGCCUCCAGAGGUUAUGUGACUGGGAGGUGAGUAACUGGUGUCAGUUGCUGGGAACAGGGGGUGGAAGUUGCUACAAGGGGAAGACAGGUCUGGCCCUGCCCCAGAGGAGUCUCGAAGUGAUGCUGAGUCACAGCCCUGCCAGGUUCCCCUCCGGAAAUGACAUUGGUUGGAGCCGCAGUCCUCUAACAUUUUUGCUCCUGUAUCUUUUAAAAGAGUUUUGAAAAAUCUUGUACCUCCUCGUACAUUUAAAGUUGGCAUCUAACAUUUUUCAUCAUUAGCUCGAAGAGUUCUAAAAGUUGUAAAAUACUGUUGGCCUUUUGUAAAUAUCAAUAAAAACUGUGAAAUCACUCUUUUAAAUGCAUCUAAAGGAUUCAUAUAAAUACCAUAGUAAUUUGAUACUACCCUUGUCGAUUUAGCUAAUUCAUGAUGAAACUCUUUAAAAUGGAAGUUUUAUAUUGUUUCUUUCUCUCUUUGAAAUCACAUUAUCACAUUUCGAUUCCUCUUCCAUGUAAUCUUAAAAUGAUUUAGUGAUAAAAACGUUUUAUUGGUCUUUGAUUACACAUACUUUUCUGCAACAAAAAUACAUAAAUUGAAAUUCAUUUUAAAAGAUAUUUCCAGUGACAGAAGGUUCUAAUUGUUUGAAAAUAUUAUGAUUAGUAACAUUUAUCACAACAACAGGUAUUACAAAUUUUUAUAAUUAGUAAACACUGGUUCACUUCUUAAGAAGUGAAAUUUUAUUGGGAAUUUGUCUUAUAAGGAGAUGGAAAGACUGGGGAGGUAUUUAUGGUUCCUUGAUUAGAAUAAUUGUGGAAUUGUCCCUUUGAUGUCCCAGAGGUUCUUAUACCUUAGAGCAAUGCAUCAGCUAGCAGGAUUAGAGAACAAUGAGCAGUAAACUUUUUUUGUGUGUGAAAUGGGAGGAGGGCAAUUGAGGAAAAAAAGGUGAGGAAAAGAGGAGCCCCUGGCUGGCUCAGUCAGUAAGAGCAGACAACAACUCUUGAUCUCGGGCUUUUAAGUUCAAACCCCAAGUUGGCUGUAGAGAUUACUUACAAAUAAAAUCUUUAAAGUAUUUUUUUUUAAUUUUUUGAUGUUUAUUUAUUUUUGAGAGAAAGAGAGAGAGAGAGAGCACAAGCCAGGGAGGGGCAGAGAGAGAGAUGGGGAGACACAGAAUCCAAAGCAGGCUCAUCUCUGAGCUGUCAGCGCAGAGCCCAACACGGGGCUUGAAUCCACAAACCAUGAGAUCAUGACUUAAGCCAAAGUCAGACGCGCAACCAACUGAGCCACCAGGCAAAAAAAAGAAAAGAAAAAUGGCGGUCAAAGGAAAUCAGCGCUGCAGAUGCCCUCUGAGGCACAUCCGUUUAGGGAAGAAUAUGAAUGGAAACUGAAGACCUGCAAAUUGAUCCCUUUGAAACUGACCAGUGUCCCAUACCCUUUGGAAAGUAUCUGCGUACCUAAACUACCUGCCUUGUUAACACCCGUGCCCCACACCAGCCUAGCAGAGAAACUGGGUAUAGCAGUAACCAAGCAGUAUUCUUUAUUCUCUAUCCACGGGGUUUGCACCACAUACAGCCCCUUCAAGGUCUUCCUGAGUCAUUCUGGAGCCGUUGGGGUGGCUCUCUUGUGCCCACAAGCUGGUGUUCUUGGUUUUUCUAUGGCUUCUGCCCAUUUUGAUCUAUCUUCUGCGCAACAGAGCUGCUCACCCCUUAGCUGCCAGAUCUAGUGUAGACAGUUGCACUUGAGGAAAUUAAGCUUCAGACCCCACACCCAUAGGCUUCUUCUGGCUCAAACAGUGGCCCUUCAGAGGGAGAAGUGUCCCCACCCUCCCCCAGUGUCUCUCCCUGGGAUGAAGGGUCUUGGCAGGGGAAGCACCUCUAGCUCACAGUUCUUAGAGGGCACUUACUAUCCUGGUACAUAUCUCUUACAUAUUUGUUAGUCUUUCUCUCUAAACUGUGGGCUCCUUGAGAGCUAGGUCCAGGUUUAUCAGAGACCCUGUGUCCCCAGAGUCUGACAUGGGGUGUGGACAGAGUAGGUGCUCAAAGGAUGUUUGUUGAAUUGAAUGUCACGCCAUUUAGACAAACUUAGAGGGAGGAGAAAGGACAAUAAUUUUGGCCUAUGCCAUAAACGGGGAUGAGGCGAGGAUAAGCAGUGUCCGUUGAUACUUUGUUCUGUUAUGUUCUGGUGCAUGGACAGAAGUGAGUGGUUCUCUUUCGAUCACCCAAAGUGCCUUUGGGUGCUCACCUCUCUUGAGGAUAACCAGCUCAUCCCACUGAGCCCUGGGAUCUAGAGGUUCUAGAGUUUGGAGGGUGCUGAGGAGGGGACAGAGGCCUUUGGACAAAAGCUGUUACACACAGCAGGGUUCUGUAGAUAGAGUUUCCAUCUCCUGCCCAGGGGUGAAGGAGGGGCCUACUGUAAUUCUCCUGCCAGUUGGGAUGAAAAACAGUCAAUGGAGAACCAUCUUAUUAUCUGAACUCAGCCCCCUCCAAACAAUGCUCUGGUUGAUACAUUCUCUGCUCCUUUUCCAAGAGGAGGGAACAGCAGCAGGCUGAUCCAUGAGAUCUUCUGGCCUAGAUUUAGAAGGAUCUGGACUUACUAUUCUAGGGGAAAUUCAUCUUAUCAGGAUUUUAUCCAAGCAAGCCCCUGACCCAGAUUUAUAAACCUAUUCACUGCAUUUGGUGUACAACAGGGCUACUGAAAACGUGGUCCACCAGUGAUAGCAUUAAAAUAGCUUGGGAGUGUUAAGAAUGCAAAUUCUUGGGCCCCACUCCAGACCUACUAAAUCAGAACUCCUGGGUGAGGCCCAGGAAACUGUGUUUUAACAAUCUCUCAAGGUCGUUUUUCUGUAUACGAAAGUACACACACAUACACACCACACACACAGAGCGCUGCCUCUAGCUCCUGCAGCUGCUAAUGCCACUUGGUCCUUUCCCUGUGGUUUUCCCCGACAGGGCCCUGGGAUUUGUUUUUCUCCACUGUGGACCUUGUUCAUUUCCUGCUGCUUCCAAGAGGUUGGGAGAGGAAAGAGAGUGAGAAUGAAGGCAGGAGGGAGGGGCCAGGGGUUAGCUAAGGCAGUGGAGCUUUCAAGAAUGAAAUGGAAAAUGCUUAGUGACAAUGUUCCUUUGUCAAGAGUUAGCUUUAUGUUGAUGAAGCUGCAAGUCAUUAGCAAUCCAGGCACAUGGCAGGAGUUGACCCGGUCAUUCUCCAGAGCCAGAUCGCCCUCUGCUGCCUACCAAUAAAUAACACUCUGGGACUCGGGAACUGCCAGAGAAAAGAGUCUCUGGGGCUGAGGUGGGAGAGAGGCCGUGACUAAGGCCAACAGGUCACAAAGUCACCACUUUGGGCUAGAAGAAUCUUGUUAGGAUCUUGUUUGCAGGGAAGGAAAAUGUUGCCAAUUCAGUGGGUGUUUCCAGGAUCCAUCCAACAGUGGGGUUCUGCCAAGCCCUACACUGGCUCCCAUGAUUCCAAGCUCCCAGCUUGAUUUGGCUCUGCACUCUCCCCCUUCUUCCUCACCCUUCUCUCACCUUGAAAAGAAAGGGUGUUUAAAAUCAGAGGAAGACGAAAGACGGAAUUUUUUGCUAUGGAGGCAUCUAGAGGCAGUUAGUCAAGGCUCAGACUUUUUAAAAAAUCUCCUUUUCGGGAUCUCUUUGUUUCUUCUGUCUCUAGGUCUCUCUGUCUUUAUUCUCUUGCCAGGGAACUCUUACCCCGCAGCUGUGGAGUCAGACCUUCUUUAUUGCCCCACUUUAUUGCUGUUGGGAAUUAUGGUUCAUGUGGGUCACUGGUGAAGAGAGCAAAGAUUUGUUCCCAGAAUAAAAGUUCAGGCACAGCAGAUGCUCCUGCCAACCGCGGGGCAGUGACCCAUUUCCUCCUAGUUCUUGCUUUUGCCCCUUUUCAGCUCUGACUGGGGCUGGCCCCUGGCGAGCAGUCAUGCCUGUACCCUCUGUCCUGGGACUUCUGCAGAGUGUAGGACUCCUGCUGGGGAGAUACCUUUAGAGCCAGGUCUGGAAAAUAACUGCCCCAAAGGGGCUGGGAUGGAGUUGAAGAAGGGAGGGGAGGAGAGGGUCGCGGAGAUGGGGGAGAUGAAGAGAGAGCAGUAGAGAUGAGAGUGGAGAUCAAAUUUUUCAGAAUGUUCUGGUGUCAUGAAAUACUCUAGUCUCUUCCCAAAAUAUCCUCAUGUACAGAAUAAGUCUAUCUGUGAUGCUAAGCCCCUCAACCAAAACAGUUAUCUUUAGAUAAAAGUUUGGUUGUUUGCUUGGUUUUUGGUCUACAUGGGACUGAAUAUCUGAAUCUUUAGAUAAGCACAUUUAGAUAAUUUUAUUUAUAUGACCGCAGGUAUAUAUGCCUGUUGUGUAUUUGUAUUACAAUCGAAGUUGGAUGGUGCCUGGUCGGUUGAGUGUCUAACUUUGGCUCAGGUCAUGAUCUUGCGGUUCGUGAGUUUGAGCCCCGCAUCAGGGCUUGCGACUGUCAGUGCAGAGCCGUCUUCGGUACUCUGACCUCCUCUCCCUCUGAACCUCCUCCGCUCGUGCUCUCUCUUUCAAAAAUAAACCUUAAAAAAAUCAAAGCACCCUUAUAGUUAUAAAAUAAAUAAGACCUGGAGAUACAAUGUACAGCAUAGAGAAUAUAGUUAAUAAUAGGUGAUAACUUUGUAUGAUGACAGAUGGUAGCUAGAUUUAUUGUGGUGAUCAGUUCCUAAUGUAUAUAAAUGUUGAAUUACUAAGUUGCACACAUGAAACCAAUAUAAUAUUAUGUCUCAACUACACUUCAAUUAAAAAAAAUUUUUUUUUAAAUCAAAGCACCUUUCCACUGCCUUGUGGUUAUGAUACUUGAAAGACAAUUUCAUCUCUUGAACUCAUCUACUUGGUAGCCUUCAUUGUGAGCAGGGUUGCGUCUCUGGAGCCAUUUUGUGCCUGGAGUUGGAUCAGAACUCCAAGAAGAAGGGGCAUAAUCAUAGGUACGUAGGCUGCAAACACAGGCAAGCUAAGGGUUAAGGAGAAGGAUGGUAUUUAAUAGAGGGUGUGAUUGUGAGAAGGUAUGGUGGCAGAUGUUAAUUAGACUUACUGUAGUGUUCAUUUUGCAAUAUAUACAAAUAUCAAAUUGUUAUGUUGUAUACCUGAAACUAAUAUAAUAUUGUAUGUUGAUUAUAUCUCAAUAAAAGAAAAGAGGGUGUGAGUAGCUACGUAAUUUGCUGUGCUCAAUACAAAAUGAAAACAGAGGGCUUCUUGUUAAAAAGUAUUAAGAAUUCCAAGAUGGCAACAGCAGAUUAUUAAGUAUGGGGCCCUUGUAAGCACAGGGCCUGUGUGAUUGCACAUGGCCCAUGGAGACAGCUCUGGUAGAGGAUCCUGUAGGGAGCGUGUGGAAAACAAAUUUAAGGAGAAGUGAUAUGUCUCGUCCAGUUUAAGUUUCCCUCCAUUUAUGCGAUUCUCAAGACAUCUGGCAGGCUUUUUUCAACACCACUUGCUGGCCCUAGCUGUACUUUGGGGAGGGGAGGAUAGAGCCUGUGCUCAAGUUGGGGGAGACACAGCUGGGGGAGAGCAGCAGUAGUCUGGGAGGAGCGAAUCCCCAGAUGGCUUCGGGUGGCCCCAGAGCUGUGGAGAAGCACCAAGUGUGGCAAAUGUACUUAGGGGGAAAACCUCCAAAGGCCAGGAUUAUGUUGGCUUUCUUCCACAAACAAACAAAAGGGGAAAUCCAAUGAGACUCACAAUGCUUCUCAUAUUCCAGAGGAGACAACUUGGAGUCAUUGAAAUGUGUCUAUUGAAGAAAUGCGACCUGAUUCUGUAGUCUUGGGCUAAUGAAGUCUUGGGACACUGGGUUGUUUAUAUAAUCAGGCAUAGCUGGUAUGACAUGUUUUGUGGCUUGGGGUAUAAAUAUAGUCUUAUCUUUCAAGUUUUCAUUAAUCACUUGAGCCUGCCAACUGUCUUCAUUAUUUUUCCAAAAAAUUAUUUUUAAGGUAAUCUCUAUGCCCAAUGUGGGGCAUGAACUCACAACCCUGAGAUCAAGAGUCACAUGCUCUACCUACUAAGCCAGCCAGGUGCACUCUUCUCCCCCCACCCCAACCCCCCACAACUGCCUUUAGUGGCAGGAAGCCCAACAUCUCCCUGGAGACCUUACCAUUAUCCUUGUGAGUUGUUAAAGAACAGGGAGGGGGCUUCUGUAGGUCUGGCCAGGUCCUUGUCUGGGAGGAGGAAACAGCCAUAACCAGUAGCUCAGAGAGUGGAGGAAGAGAUGAUACCGAGUGUUAACCGGGGUUGAGAAAGCAGCUCCACUCAAGUUCUACUUUAUUUCCUUACCCUCCCGGGCAGAAUCAGUGCUAUAUUUGUGCAUGAAUGACCUAAGGACAUCCUUCCCGACUUCUUUCUCAGAAUUAGGAAACCCUGCUUAGUAUUCAAAUCUCACUGUUCAUAGUGAGUCAUUUUAUCCAGUCAUUAAAAUAUCAAGACCUACGCAUCACACUGAUGAAAUUUAAUAUUAAGGAAGAUAAUGAAAUAGAUUUAAAUAUGUUUAAAAUGUGUAUUUUAAAAUGUGUUUAAAAUAUGUAUUUGAAAUGUUUGUUUCUUUUUUUUCCCAAAAGGUAUAUGAAAUAAUAUUUAUUUAUUAUUUAUUUUUAUUUUUUAAAUUUACAUCCAAGUUAGUUAGCAUAUACUGCCAUAAUGAUUUCAGGAGAAGAAUCCAGUGGUUCAUCCCCUACAUAUGACACCCAGGGCUCAUCCCAACAUUUAGCCCAUUCCUCAAUGCCCCUUGCCUAUUUAGCCCAUCCGCCACCCCAACCCCUCCAGCAACCAACCCCGCGUUUGUUCUCUAUAUUUAAGAGUCUCUUAUGUUUUGUCCCUCUCCCUGUUUUUAUAUUAUUUUUGCUCCCCUUCCCCUAUGUUCAUCUGUUUUGUAUCUUAACUUCUACAUGUAAGUGAAGUCAUAUGAUAUUUGUCUUUUUCUGACUAAUUUCACUUAUCAUAAUACCCUCUAGUUCAAUCCACGUUGUUGCAAAUGGCAAGAUUUCAUUCUUUAUGAUUGCCGAGUAAUACUCCAUUAUAUAUAUAUACACCACAUCUUCUUAUUCCAUUCAUCUGUCAAUGGACAUUUGGGCUCUUUCCAUACUUUGGCUAUUGUUGAUAGUGCUGCUAUAAACAUUGGGGUGCAUGUGUCCCUUCAAAACAGCACACCUGUAUCCUUUGGUUAAAUACCUAGUAGUGCAAUUGCUGGGUCAUAGGGUAGUUCUAUUUUUAGUUUUUGAGGAACUCCAUACUGUUUUCCAGAGUGGCUGCACCAGUUUGCAUUCCCACCAGCAGUGCAAAAGAGAUCCUCUUUCUCCACAUCCUGGCCAACAUCUGUUGUUGCCUGAGUUGUUAAUGUUAGCCAUUCUGACAGGUGUAAGGUGGUAUCUCAUUGUGGUUUUGAUUUGUAUUUCCCUGAUGAUGAGUGAUGUUGAGCAUUUUUUCAUGUGUCGGUUGGCCAUCUGGAUGUCUUCUUUGGAGAAGUGUCUAUUCAUGUCUUUUGCCCAUUUCUUCACUGGAUUAUUUGUUUUUUGGGUGUUGAGUUUGAUAAGUUCUUUAUAGAUUUUGGAUACUAACCCUUUAUCUGAUAUGUCAUUUGCAAAUAUCUUCUCCCANUGUUUUGUCCCCCUCCCUGUUUUUAUAUUAUUUUUGUUUCCCUUCCCUUAUGUUCAUCUGUUUUGUCUCUUAAAGUCCUCAUAUGAGUGAAGUCAUAUGAUAUUUGUCUUUCUCUGACUAAUUUCACUUAGCAUAAUACCCUCCAGUUCCAUCCACGUAGUUGCAAAUGGCAAGAUUUCAUUCUUUAUGAUUGCCGAGUAAUACUCCAUUAUAUAUAUACACCACAUCUUCUUAUUCCAUUCAUCUGUCAAUGGACAUUUGGGCUCUUUCCAUACUUUGGCUAUUGUUGAUAGUGCUGCUAUAAACAUUGGGGUGCAUGUGUCCCUUCAAAACAGCACACCUGUAUCCUUUGGUUAAAUACCUAGUAGUGCAAUUGCUGGGUCAUAGGGUAGUUCUAUUUUUAGUUUUUGAGGAACUCCAUACUGUUUUCCAGAGUGGCUGCACCAGUUUGCAUUCCCACCAGCAGUGCAAAAGAGAUCCUCUUUCUCCACAUCCUGGCCAACAUCUGUUGUUGCCUGAGUUGUUAAUGUUAGCCAUUCUGACAGGUGUAAGGUGGUAUCUCAUUGUGGUUUUGAUUUGUAUUUCCCUGAAGAUGAGUGAUGUUGAGCAUUUUUUCACGUGUCUGUUAGCCAUCUGGAUGUCUUCUUUGGAAAGUGUCUAUUCAUGUCUUUUGCCCAUGAAAUGUUUAUUUCUAAGUUUCAAUGACUAAAAUUGCCAUUUAA